UACGGGGGGGGCAAGCGUUGUUCGGAAUUACUGGGCGUAAAGGGCGCGUAGGCGGCCUGCUAAGUCGGACGUGAAAUCCCUCGGCUCAACCGGGGAACUGCGUCCGAUACUGGUGGGCUCGAAUCCGGGAGAGGGAUGUGGAAUUCCAGGUGUAGCGGUGAAAUGCGUAGAUAUCUGGAGGAACACCGGUGGCGAAGGCGGCAUCCUGGACCGGCAUUGACGCUGAGGAGCGAAAGCGUGGGGAACGAACAGG
rnacentral:rRNA from 1 species